AUUGAACGCUGGCGGCAUGCCUUACACAUGCAAGUCGAACGGUAACAGGUCUUCGGAUGCUGACGAGUGGCGAACGGGUGAGUAAUACAUCGGAACGUGCCCGAUCGUGGGGGACAACGGAGCGAAAGCUUUGCUAAUACCGCAUACGAUCUACGGAUGAAAGCAGGGGACCGCAAGGCCUUGCGCGGACGGAGCGGCCGAUGGCAGAUUAGGUAGUUGGUGGGAUAAAAGCGUACCAAGCCGACGAUCUGUAGCUGGUCUGAGAGGACGACCAGCCACACUGGGACUGAGACACGGCCCAGACUCCUACGGGAGGCAGCAUGGGGGAAUUUUGGACAAUGGGCGAAAGCCUGGUCCAGCCAUGCCGCGUGCAGGAUGAAGGCCUUCGGGUUGUAAACUGCUUUUGUACGGAACGAAAAGCCUCUUUCUAAUAAAGAGAGGUCAUGACGGUACCGUAAGAAUAAGCACCGGCUAACUACGUGCCAGCCGCCGCCGUAACAC
rnacentral:rRNA from 1 species